rnacentral:lncRNA from 1 species
ACUUCAAAGCUUGAUCUCAUCUCUUUUCGUUCAAUAGUUUAGUACUAUUAUUGUUGGCGCAGAAGGAGUUCAUCUUGAAUGUGCACAUGCUAUUUUCACAUAGUAGAUUUAUUCUUCACAACAAUCAAACUAUAUACAUUUUUACAUAGAGGUUGCAUUGUUGGGUUAGCUAGAUAAAAACCCAACUGACACAACGUAGGUAAGGCAUUUACUUUUCAAGAUUUCUAAAACAAGGGGAACAUGUACACACCAAUAAUUUUCAAACUUCCCUGAAGAUUAUUGAUUCCUUGAAACAUUUGUUAAUGUGAUGUUGAAAUACAGCGCAGUGUCAUAGCUGCCAUCAAUCCAGAAGGAAUAUUUAC